GUGCCAGUGGCCGAGACUUGGGUUUUUCACGUUUAUGACCACAGAAAUAACUUGGGCUUAUAGCAAAUCAUUCAAGUAAUAAGAUAACGUUUAAAAAUAGGAAAAGCGGGGCGUUUCCAUUGUGGCUUAGUAGAAACGAAUCUGUCUAGCAUCCAUGAGGAUGCAGGUUUGAUCCCUGGCCUCGCUCUGUGGGUUAAGGAUCUGGCAUUGCCAUGAGCCAUGGUGUAGGUUGAAGAUGUGACUUGGACCCUAUGUUGCUGCACGUGUGUGGCACAGACCGGCAGCUACAGCUCUGAUUCCACGCCUAGAUUGGGAACUUCCAUAAGCCUCGGGUGUGGCCCUAAAAAGACAAAAAAAGAAAAGAAAGAAAAACAGAAAGUGAAAAUUCCCUGGAAGCCCAGCCUCAAAAAAUAACUGAAUCGCUAUUUCCCACUCUCUCCUUGGACGUUUUCAGAGAAGAGCCUCACCCUGCGGCAGUGCAGUGUCUGGUCCUUCUCAUCCCAUGUUAUUCUGCACAUUUGCCCAUUGAGUGUGUGUCCAAUCGUGUGACCACCUCACACUGCUUUUUGUUUUUAUUUUUUUAUUUAUUUUUUUCAUGGCUGCACCCGUGGCAUAUGGAAGUUCCUGGGCCAGGGAUUGAAUCCCAGCUGUGUCAACAGCUGAUCCUUUAACCCACUGCGCUGGGCCCGGGAUCGAACGCUUGCCUCUGCAGGGGUCUGAGCCACUGCAGUCAGGUUCUUAACCCACUGGGCCACAGCGGGAGCUCCUUGACACUGUAUUUUGUGCGUUUUCUUGCCGUCAGGGACUUUGGAUACAGGCAUGCCCCCUAACCGGUGACUCUUGCUAUAAUGUAGCCCUCAUGACUUUUGAAAAUUGAGCCAUAACCCAUUAAAACUGGGAAGAAACCUAUGGGGUUUCCCGGGGACAGACCCCACCCCCACCCCACCCCCGCCACCUCCUCCACUUGCCUUUCGCCUGUAGAAAAACUUCAGCCAAAGAAUACAUUUAAUCAGAUAAAUGAAAAAAAAAAAAAUGCAGAAGCAGAGAGAAGCAAGCAGGACAAAACAGUAAAGUACAGUCAUUAAAUAAAGUCGAGGAACUUUAGUUCCUCCUCCAAGGCUAUAGAUAACAUUCUGAGUCAUACCCUUUGAACGGUUUUAUGGAUACUGACACCCCCCACCAGGUGAAAGGAGUUAACGACAUGAUGGCCGGACUGUGGCCAAGACACAAGCUGCUCCACCGCACAGGAUUCCAAGAAUGGCCUCAAAGAAAUGGGAACAAACCAGCCCCGGAUCUGAAGAUGAAUUCGCCUUAAAACAAUCCGGUGAUGCUGAUGAGACCGCCGCGGGACCAGUCUCAAGGAUGUUACUGUAGCCCCUGGGGGUUGAGAGCAGCUGGCAGCCUUGAGAAGCCUCUCCUGCAGUUUGACAGAGGUCCCCCAGAAGAGUCUGCUGGCUUCCAACUGGCCAGAAAACUGGCCCAGCUGCAUUCCAGACUCCCUGGCAUGGGGGGAAGAGGUCUCCGAGGGGGCUGAACCUGACUCAUCUCUAGGGAGAAGAUGGGCCGGCCAGGGCCCCCCAGGGAGAAGGUCUCUGCCACCCAGCUCUCCGGCGCCCCUGCUGCCCCCCACCGCGCCCCUGCCGAUGCCAUCUUUGGCCCUGAGGACUCGGACCUGGUGCCCUCCCUGACCUUGGCCGCAGCCCUGGUCCUGUUGUUCCUCCUGCUCUCCGCCUGGCUGGUGUGGGACAGGUCCCUCCAACCCUCCUGCUAACGUGGGUCCCAAGCAGGGGCUCGAGGGGGCAUGGCCCAGGGCCAGGAGUGGCAGGAGCGGAACCAGGGAUGGGGCUGGCUGGGCAUUGCAGCCAAACCCUGUGACCAGCUAGCCCUUGCCCAUGUGACCCCAGGGGACCCUGGGAGACCCUCGAGUCCCCCCCACUGGAGGGCAGGAACCUGGAUGAGCCCCGGACUGCGCUUCAGAAGGCCGCCGCUGCUGGAGCCUCACAGGAGCCACAGGAGACCCAGAAAACCCUUCGGGGAAGCCCAGGACUCGGUGCCCCAACGCCCGUCCCGGUCCCCGCUGGCAGCCAGGGCUGAGGCCCAUCAGAGGUGGGAUGCCAUGGUCUUGACCGCCACCUGCUGGCUGAAUUUAGAAUCACAAUCUGCUGCGAGAGCCUUUUGGGGUUCCAUGGAGGUGAAAGGUGUUUUCUCUUUUUAAGGUGGGACUUUUGAGCCUGUGAAUAUGCACAAACCUCAUUACCCAGAGAGAACCUCUUUCAUCAUUUGCUAUUUAUCUUCUUUCCCUCCACUUCUUUUUUCUUCUUUUGAAGUUAUUAUUGACGUAGAGUUGAUUCGCAAGGUUGUGAUAACUUCUGCUGUAUAACAAAGUGAUUCGGUGAUACAUGGACACGCAUCCACUCUUUCUCAGGUUCUUUCCCCACAUAGGUUAUCACAGAAUCUCGGGUGGAGGUCCCUGCUGCGCGGCAGGUGCCCAUCCACCGUCCGUUCUGUGCACGAUGGUGUGUGGGGUAUGCUGAUCUCAGGUCCCCAGUCCCUCCCUCCACUGCCGUGGUAACAACAGUUUGUUUUCAAAGUCUGAGGCUGUUUGUGUUUCGUAAAUAAGUUCAUUUGUAUCUUUUUUUUUUUAGAUUCAACAUAUAAGUGACAUGAUGUUUGUCUCUGCCGAGUUUACUUCACUUAGUAUGAUAAUCUCUGGGGGCAUUAAAGCUGCUGCAAAUGGC
rnacentral:lncRNA from 1 species